rfam:Schistosoma curassoni strain Dakar, Senegal genome assembly, scaffold: SCTD_scaffold0000564
AGCCUUUUGUAUCCGUGCUGAGAUUUCGUCACACACUAAACCACAAGGGCUGAUGAGACUUACAAGAUAAGUGAAGCG